rnacentral:rRNA from 1 species
UACGGGGGGGGCAAGCGUUGUUCGGAAUUACUGGGCGUAAAGGGUUCGUAGGUGGCUUGCUAAGUCAGACGUGAAAUCCCUCAGCUUAACUGGGGAACUGCGUCUGAGACUGGUGAGCUUGAGUGCAGGAGAGGAACGCGGAAUUCCAGGUGUAGCGGUGAAAUGCGUAGAUAUCAAGAGGAACACCUGAGGUGAAGACGGGUUGCUGGGCUGACACUGACGCUGAGGCGCGAAAGCCAGGGGAGCAAACGGG